rnacentral:tRNA from 1 species
GCGGGUUUAGCUCAGUUGGGAGAGCGUCAGACUGAAGUCAAACUUCAUCACUUAAUCUGAAGGUCGUGUGUUCGAUCCACACAAACCGCA